GGAGAACAGAAGCCCCAAGCUUGCCCAACUGGGCAGAGGGAUCCUCCUCCUGGCAUCGCUGGUUGGACACUCAACUGGAGCCAAAUUUUCACAGCCCAUUAACUUCAUCAUCGCUGAUCUUGGGGUCUGCUCCAAGUCCACCUCAAAGAGGUGGAGGCAAACAGUGCAGAGAGAAGAUGUUCUCCAGGCCAACUCCAGUCAAACAGCUGUUUCAGCACUAGUUGAAAAACAUCAUUUCAUCCACAGAGGAGACUUAAAACAAGUUGGGUCCUGGGCAGGGAAAUUGAGGAGGAAUAAAAACUUGAAAUCUCCAUGCAACAA